rnacentral:tRNA from 1 species
GCCUGGGUGGCUCAGUCUGUUGAGCAUCUGACUCCAGCUCAGGUCAUAACCUCAAGGCUCGUGGGCUCAAGCCCCACAUCAGGCU